GGGAGGAGGGAGAUCACAAGUCUGCUCCUCAUCCUUCGAAUCUUGUCAUUGAUUGACAGGUCACUGGGACCAAUGGGGGGACGUCCUGCAGAGGUGGGAGGGUCCUGGAGGUCCUGCUGGAGAUGGAGAGAGAGCGAGAGAGAAGAGAGGAGCACUACUGGGACCAUCAGUUGUUUCAAGCAGCACAGGCAGCCGGCUCCCUACCCAUAACACCCUGCUCCCUACCCAUUACACCCUGCUGUGAACACAGGCAGCUUAAGGUGGGUGCAGCUCUCAGUAACUCUAUAUAAAUGUUAUACCCUCUAAUGCAUACUGUAUACUCUGUAGUCUCCUACUUAUUUGAAAGAUUGGUUAUAUGGAUGUGUGUGUGUGUGUGUGUGUGUGUGUGUGUGUGUGUGUGUGUGUGUGUGUGUGUGUGUGUGUGUGUGUGUGUGUGUCUGUGUGUGUGUGUGUGUGUGUGUGUGUGUGUGUGUGUGUCUGUGUGUGUUUGUUUGUCUCUGUGUGUGUCUGUGUGUUUGUGUUGUGUGUGUGUGUGUGUGUGUGUGUGUGUCUGUGUGUGUGUGUGUGUGUGUGUGUCUGUGUGUGUGUGUGUGUGUGUGUGUGUGUGUGUGUGUGUGUGUGUGUGUGUGUGUGUUUCCACAGGGCGGGUGGUGUUCAUGUAUGUGGAAACUCAGAGUAAAAGCCAGACAACUUUCUAUCAGGUUGGCUCUGGAAGGCCCUUGGAAUGUUUUGCCAUCGUUGCGCCAUGGUAACCACAUAGAUUGCCAUGGUAACCACAGAGCCCAAAAAGCGGAGUGGCCACACCCCUCGAGCGCCACACAGAUCCUUCUACUCCUGCAGCGUAAAUAUGACAUCAUCAGGGAGCGCCUGUAUGCGGAGAUGCUCCAUGAGGAGCAUGGUGGUGUGUGGUGGGAGAGCCGGUUGCCGUGGCAGCGAGAGGAGUGUGUGUUGGAGUUGGGCGUGCUGGCGGAGCACGCUCUGUCCGACCGAGACCUGCUGGGUCUGUGUGAACUGCCAGGAGCGUUCCGCAUCUACAGGCAGCAGAUGACCUCGGCCUGUGGAGAGGAGAGUCAACCCAGGGAGCAGUCUUGGUUGGCCCGUCCACUGCCCUCGGCCUGUGGAGAGGAGAGUAAACCCAGGGAGCAGUCAUGGUUGGCCCGUCAGCUGCCCUCGGCCUGUGGAGAGGAGAGUCAACCCAGGGAGCAGUCAUGGUUGGCCUGGACAGCCCUGGUGUUUCUGAUCGAACUAGAGUCCUCUUACCAGGAGGAGAGCAGAGCACUGAGCAUGCUUAUGACCAGGAUGGAUCAGGCUGUGCAGUGUGAAGUGUGUGUGUGUUUGCAUUUGGCAGUGUCGAGAGCACAGAGAGAAACACACUCCCAUGCGGCUCUUCAGGCAGCUAGACAAUACUGGGAGAGAUGGCCGGAUCUAAACAUUGAUGUCAGAAGAGAAAAUGUAAUUCCUUUAAUCCGACAAAGAGACCGGCGUCCAGAAAGUCGUGACACACACAGCUUGCAGGAUCCCCGUGACAACCAGGAGAGACAGGCAGAGGCUCCAGCCAAUCAGAGCGCUGAGACUUCCACAUACGAUGGAGGCGGUCUUCUCAUGGAGGAAACUCCUUAUUUGGAGAUCCUCUGUGAGAGGAGUCAGUGUGAUGGACAGCCUGAAGAGCCAAUAGGAACAGUGGAGGGGCAAGGCCUUGAGAAGCAGGGUUCUCUGAUUGCAGCAGCCUGGAGUGACAUAAGUGAGCCAGCCAAUCAAGACUCACCCCCGCAAUCACCUCUUGACCAGGACACAGACAGUGAGGAGGAGGCCUCAGAGGAUACGCCUGAUGUCACACACACACUCCUCACAGACGAGCCUGAAACACACACACUCGACACACACCCAAUCACUGGACAUCCUCAGUCAAAACACACUCUCCUCACAGACAUGCUGGCAACACACACACUCCCACAUACUCAAGAUCCUGAACUCCAGCAUACGCUCUCAGAACCUGAGAAUACACACACAGUCCAAAUGCACACUGACGCUGAAGAUCCUCAAACACAGUACACACACACAGAAAGCUUACACACACCCAUCACCGUGGGAGAAGACGCUGAAGUGUGUGUGGAGCCAUGUGCUGAAGCAGACCAGAGUGUGUGUGCUGUGUGUAUGGAUGAAGAGAGUGUGUGUGAGGAGGAGAGUGUGUGUGGACCGGAUGUGUGUGUGCAACAGCAGAGUGUGUGUGUGGAGGGAGGCAGUGCCAUUCAAGAAGGUGUGUAUCAGGAAGAAGUGUGUGUUGUUGAGCAAAGUGUGUGUGAGAAACAGGAGAGUGUGUGUGCUGGGGGUGUGUGUGAGAAACAGGAGAGUGUGUGUGGUGAGAGCGUGUGUGUGUGUGGUGAGAGCGUGUGUGUGUGUGGUGAGAGUGUGUGUGUGUGUGGUGAGAGUGUAUGUGUGUGUGGUGAGAGUGUGUGUGUGUGUGGUGAGAGUGUGUGUGUGUGUGGUGAGAGUGUGUGUGUGUGUGGUGAGAGUGUGUGUGUGUGUGUCCAGCCAGAGGCAGCUCUGGAGAGGGAGGAGACGAUGCGCAGCCUGGUGGACAUGCAGAGAAAACUGGAGCUCCGCCACCAACGAGAGCGAGAGAGACACACACUCAGGGUACACACACACACACACAUACACACACACACACACACACACACACACACACACACACACAUACACGCACACACACACACACACACACACACACAGUUUUUACACAUUUUACACAUUUACACAUUUUGGACAAGACAGGAGUACAAAAUAAAAUGUCUGUGUGUGCGUGUGCGCAUGUGUGUGUGUAUGUGGGCGUGUGUGUGUGUGUGUGUGUGUAUGUGGGCGUGUGUGUGUGUGUGUGUGUGUGUGUGUGUGCGUGUGUGUGUGUGUGCGUGUGUGUGUGUGUGUAUGUGGGCGUGUGUGUAUGUGUGUGUGUGUGUGUGUGUGUGUGUGUGGGGGGGGGCGUGUGGGUGUAUGUGUGUGUGUGUGUGUGUGAUUAUUAGGUCCAGGAGCGCCUGA
ensembl:lncRNA